rnacentral:rRNA from 1 species
AUUGAACGCUGGCGGCAGGCCUAACACAUGCAAGUCAAGCGGAUGAUGGGAGCUUGCUCCUGGAUUCAGCGGCGGACGGGUGAGUAAUGCCUAGGAAUCUGCCUGGUAGUGGGGGACAACGUUUCGAAAGGAACGCUAAUACCGCAUACGUCCUACGGGAGAAAGCAGGGGACCUUCGGGCCUUGCGCUAUCAGAUGAGCCUAGGUCGGAUUAGCUUGUUGGUGAGGUAAUGGCUCACCAAGACGACGAUCCGUAACUGGUCUGAGAGGAUGAUCAGUCACACUGGAACUGAGACACGGUCCAGACUCCUACGGGAGGCAGCAGUGGGGAAUAUUGGACAAUGGGCGAAAGCCUGAUCCAGCCAUGCCGCGUGUGUGAAGAAGGUCUUCGGAUUGUAAAGCACUUUAAGUUGGGAGGAAGGGUUGUAGAUUAAUACUCUGCAAUUUUGACGUUACCGACAGAAUAAGCACCGGCUAACUCUGUGCCAGCAGCCGCCGUAACAC